ACCAGCAGUCACAGCAUGUUAAAUGUACCAGUUCUCGAGGGAUCACUGAAGCCAAGCAACGUUGUGUAUGGUUGGUACCCGGAUGGGUGACCAUUUGGGCUUUUCCAGGGGCCCACUC
rnacentral:rRNA from 1 species